rnacentral:rRNA from 1 species
UACAGAGGGUGCAAGCGUUGUUCGGAAUUAUUGGGCGUAAAGCGCGUGUAGGCGGCUUUGCAAGUCGGGCGUGAAAGCCCUCAGCUCAACUGAGGAAGUGCGCCCGAAACUGCAGAGCUUGAGUACCGGAGAGGAUGGUGGAAUUCCCCAAGUAGAGGUGAAAUUCGUAGAUAUGGGGAGGAACACCGGUGGCGAAGGCGACCAUCUGGACGGAUACUGACGCUGAGACGCGAAAGCGUGGGUAGCAAACAGG